ensembl:lncRNA
CACCAGUCUAGAGGACGCCCCACAGCCACCUAAUCAAACCCAUACUGAGCACUCUACACAAGUUACACAGAGUGCUGAUGAUGUCGGGAGCAAGCAUGAGGUGGUCCAGGGAUUACUGCCAAUGAAGAAGCUUGCACAGGUAAUAAUUGCUCAACAUAACAGUAUUGCUAUUUCUAAGUCAUUUAUCGAGUGCCUAUUUUGAAAUUCAGUUCAUGUUUUUAUUUUAGUAUUUCUUGGGAGACAUUAAUUUAACUCUGCCCGAAUUGUACCACCACUGUCAUUUGGCACAAGGUGACUUGGAGCCCAUUCUGCGUGUGUUUCUGCUGGAUCCUAGCUUCCAUGCUUUUGUGGAGAAGGUGGAGGGAGAACUGAAGACAAUGUUGCAAGAGUGAAGAAUUCUAAUAACAGUAAGGUCAAGUCAGUAUGACUAUUUGUUUGUUUUUCCACAUUUUUGUGUAGGCUGUGCCUGUUCCAAGUUGUUCUUGCUGUGCUGUUAACUGACUGCAUUAUAUUGUAAAAGCCAAAAAUACAUAAUGGAAAACUGUGCUACUGAUUUUAGACUGAAAGACUGGGGGAAAACAUCUAUAUAUGUUUUUAAUAUUUUUAUUCAGAAAAAAAUAUUUGUUUCACUCAUAUAGUUAAUCUUGGCUAUAUACUCUGGUCCCUCAGUUCCCAACUGUGCGCAGGUCCAUUUCCACUGCAACAAACAUACUUACAUUGUAUUGAAAAAGGAGUCAUGCAGCUACAGCAGUGAUUUUGCUAUGCCAGUUUCCAAGUGAUCUCACGAUAUUAAAGCUUCACUGAGUGAAACAAACUGCUCUCCAUAUAUCUAUUCAAGAAUACAUAUUGCAUAGAAUCAUAGCCAUGCUAUACAGUUAAGUAGAGGCAAAUAAAAAUCUGUUAAUGGAUUUGGGAAAUAUAAAAACAUUUUUACAGUAUCGCUAUCAUUUUAACACUCAUACCUCAACAUAUACAAGACACCUAAUAACUCUGGAAAGAAAAUAGAAAUAAUACACAUAUCAUUUGUUUAGCUGUAAGUUAAACACACCAAAGUUCCCCCCUCAAUAAAUACUGCCUGUCCUUGAAGCCCUUGCUUCAAAAUAAAAAUCUCCUCCAAAUUGGACUUAACGUCACAAAUCCAAACAUAGAUGAAUGGCCAUGAUAUGCUGUACAAAUUUCAAGAAUAUAACUAAUUGCUAUAUAUAAAAAACAUACAUCAUUUCCAACAAAAAGCCACACGAGGGAUAACAACAGAAAAUGUCAAUUCUGAGUAUCCUAUUGCGUAUUUAUCUUGCAUGCAUUGUACAUGAUAUGUAAUACAAAAGGGAUCACCUCUUUUGAGGACAAGAUGAAAUUAAUAAAGGAGACAUCAACAUCACAUUAAAAAAUGUGUACACCUUUGUGGUGGUUUAUAGUCAUUAUUAUUCCUCCCAAAAUCGCCACGUAAGACUGAAUAAGGCAUGCUUUAGACAGCCAUUAUGUUCUCUUUGAUGCCAGUGUUAUGCUGAUAUUGUUUCUCAAGUCAGACAGAUAUGCUUUUUUCCAUUCCCCACCUGCACUCCACAUUUGAUGCCUUCAUGUAUUCAAAAUAUGCAGCUUAGCCAUCUGAU